rnacentral:rRNA from 1 species
UGAGGAAUAUUGGUCAAUGGGCGAGAGCCUGAACCAGCCAAGUAGCGUGCAGGAUGACGGCCCUAUGGGUUGUAAACUGCUUUUGUAUGGGGAUAAAGUCAAUCACGUGUGAUUGUUUGCAGGUACCAUACGAAUAAGGACCGGCUAAUUCCGUGCCAGCAGCCGCGGUAAUACGGAAGGUCCGGGCGUUAUCCGGAUUUAUUGGGUUUAAAGGGAGCGCAGGCUGGAGAUUAAGUGUGUUGUGAAAUGUAGACGCUCAACGUCUGACUUGCAGCGCAUACUGGUUUCCUUGAGUACGCACAACGUUGGCGGAAUUCGUCGUGUAGCGGUGAAAUGCUUAGAUAUGACGAAGAACUCCGAUUGCGAAGGCAGCUGACGGGAGCGCAACUGACGCUGAAGCUCGAAGGUGCGGGUAUCGAACAGGAUUAGAUACCCUGGUAGUCCGCACAGUAAACGAUGGAUGCCCGCUGUUGGUACCUGGUAUCAGCGGCUAAGCGAAAGCAUUAAGCAUCCCACCUGGGGAGUACGCCGGNNCGGUG